GUGGCUUAAUUUGACUCAACGCGGGAAAUCUUACCGGGUCCGGACACACUGAGGAUUGACAGGCAAUAUCUAAAUCGUUUAUAAUUCUAUUAUAAUACGCUUUUAGUGUUAAAUAUGCUAGUCCUUUCAUGAUUAUGUGAUAGGUGGUGCAUGGCCGUUCUUAGUUCGUGGAGUGAUCUGUCUGCUUAAUUGCGUUUCACUAAGGGCCCAUAAAUUCAAGGUAUGUUAGCUAUCGUUUCUCAAUUGACCCCUUAUCUUCGAUAAGCGCGUGUCUUUUAGAGUUUAAACAUUGCGCAUGCUGUUGGGUCCUGAAAGCAACGAACGGGACCGCAACGUCUUAUUGCCUUUAUCUUGUUAUAUUCUAAUUUAAUUAGGAAUAACUAACAGAGGCUAAUUUAAAAUUAGACGGACCGCUGUACUUUUCUUAAACCAGAGGAAGGUUGCGGCAAUAACAGGUCUG
rnacentral:rRNA from 1 species